rnacentral:rRNA from 1 species
AGAAUCAACGCUGGCGGCGUGCCUAACACAUGCAAGUCGCACGAGAAAGGGGAGCAAUCCCUGAGUACAGUGGCGCACGGGUGAGUAACACGUGAAUAAUCUACCUCCGAGUGGGGAAUAACUGAGAGAAAUCUUAGCUAAUACCGCAUAAUACCCACGGGUCAAAGCAGCAAUGCGCUUGGAGAGGAGUUCGCGGCAGAUUAGUUAGUUGGCGGGGUAAUGGCCCACCAAGACGAUGAUCUGUAUCCGGCCUGAGAGGGCGCACGGACACACUGGAACUGAAACACGGUCCAGACUCCUACGGGAGGCAGCAGUGGGGAAUUUUGCGCAAUGGGGGAAACCCUGACGCAGCAACGCCGCGUGGAGGAUGAAGCCCCUUGGGGUGUAAACUCCUUUCGAUCGGAAGAUAAUGACGGUACCGAUAUAAGAAGCCCCGGCUAACUUCGUGCCAGCACGCCGAC